rnacentral:rRNA from 1 species
GACGAACGCUGGCGGCGUGCCUAACACAUGCAAGUCGAACGAAGCUUGAUUUUUGAUUUUUUCGGAAUGACGAAUGAUAUGACUGAGUGGCGGACGGGUGAGUAACGCGUGAGCAACCUGCCCUUCGGAACGGGAUAGUGUCUGGAAACGGACAGUAAUACCGUAUAACAUAUAUUGAUCGCAUGGUCGAUAUAUCAAAACUGAGGUGCCGAAGGAUGGGCUCGCGUCUGAUUAGAUAGUUGGUGGGGUAACGGCCUACCAAGUCGACGAUCAGUAGCCGGACUGAGAGGUUGAACGGCCACAUUGGGACUGAGACACGGCCCAGACUCCUACGGGAGGCAGCAGUGGGGAAUAUUGCACAAUGGGGGAAACCCUGAUGCAGCAACGCCGCGUGAAGGAAGACGGUUUUCGGAUUGUAAACUUCUGUUCUUAGUGAAGAAUAAUGACGGU